CGUGGCCUGGUGGAUAUGGCACCAGGCUAAUAGCCUAGGGUCGCAGGUUCGAGUCCGG
rnacentral:tRNA from 1 species